rnacentral:rRNA from 1 species
UACGGAGGGUGCGAGCGUUGUCCGGAAUCACUGGGCGUAAAGGGCGCGUAGGCGGCUUGGGAAGUCUGUGGUGAAAGCUCGUGGCUCAACUGCGAGUCGGCCAUAGAUACUCCUAAGCUCGAGUCGACUAGAGGCAGAUGGAAUUCCGGGUGUAGCGGUGGAAUGCGCAGAUAUCAGGAGGAACACCGGUGGCGAAGGCGGGUCUCUGGGCCGGAACUGACGCUAAGGAGCGAAAGCGUGGGGAGCGAACAGG